ACGAUACUCGUUAGUAGAAAAAACAGAGACCAUCAUUUUCGAAUCCACAAAAAAGAACAAAAGGCGAAAAAGAAGAUUCUUCAAGAUUCCCAUUCCUGGAACGCUGAUGAUUUCUAAUUGAUUGUAAAAGGCGAAGCUCUGCGAUCGUGUCCUCGAUAUUUCAUGAGCACGAAGAAAAAAGAAACGUACUCGUCGACUACGCACGAGAAUCUCGUCGUACCAGAUCAAGGACGAGGUUUCUCAGUGUCUCAAUACGUCGAGAAACCCGGUUCGGAGGCCUCGUACAACUUAAAUUCGGGCACUUCCUAAACUGGAAAUCAGGAAACGCGAAUCGUUCUCUCUCGUUCUCCACCAAUUCGACGAAGGAGAGAAGAAAAAAGAGGAAAAGUGAGUUGUGCAGGUGCCGAUCGAAAGGUCGUGUCUCCGUGGAUAAAAGGAAUGCUUGAAAGUGGGAGGAAAAGGUCGAACAUCAAUCCUAAAGUGGAACGAAACGAUAGAAGAGAAGGAAGGUCGUAAUCUAUCUUUCUCUUCCUCUCUCUCUCUCUCUCCUCUCCCUCUCCUUCUUUCUUUCGUACACGUCUACAAACGCACAAUAACACAUUCUGGCACUAAUAAAUUUAUAAAAUUAGCAAUCCACGCUAUCGGGUGGGAAUAGCACAAGCGUAAGAAUCGAACCUCAUUAGGCAGGCUCGUUUCUUCUAGCCGGUAAUUAAAUCCGACAAAAGGAAAGGAAAAAUGCUGGAUAAGGUACAUCGUUCGCGAAGUAGGCCUCCCGCAUUUAAUUGUAUCGCACCUCGUUAGGUUGUCCCACAACAGGUCGACCUUUUGGUUCUGUGUGUAUGUGUAUUUAUUUCAGGGUUCGCAGGAAAGGAAGAGACACUGCGUAUUACGAUAGGUCGAGGUGAUGAAAAAAAAAAAGAAAGAACUAGGAAGAAAAGAAAAAAAAGAAAUCGGGUGCAAAGACCAGCUUGCUGCUAGGCAGACAUGAUUAUGGAAACGACAGAGAGAGAGAGAGAGAGAGAGAGAGAAAGAGAUGGUGAAAGAGUGAAAGAGUCCCAAGUCUUGUGGAAAGAGUAGAAUUGCGGUCCAGCCUAGUUUUUUAAAAAAUAAACGAGCCAGUGGUCUAGUUUAUUGAACGGAUACGACAGCUUCUUCCUCUUGAAAAGAUUUUGAUUUCAUCGGCAAGUUCAUGGAAAAGACGGAAAGGAAAGAAUAUCAGGAGACAAAAAUAGACGCCACAAUUCGAUUCAAGGAAAGAAAAAAAUGGAAAGAUAAUAAAAUCUGUCAAAAAGAGUAUUCGUUGAUCAAUCCGAAGAAAAAGAUGUUGAAUCGGAAAAGACACGUCAGCGAUCUUAUCGAUGACAACGGCGAAAAUACAUUUCGAUGAUGCAGGAUGCAUAGUAUGGUUCGUUCACAUCGUACAAACUUUUACAGUCUGGUAUAAGCGAAAAGAAAACUAAGGGAAAGGAAAAAGUAUAAAAAGAAGGAGCAACAGAAAAAGAUAAAGAUAGAAUUGAA